rnacentral:rRNA from 1 species
UAAUACAGGGGGUGCGAGCGUUAAUCGGAAUUACUGGGUGUAAAGGGCGCGUAGGCGGCAUUAUAAGUGCGAUGUGAAAGCCCCGGGCUUAACCUGGGAAGAGCAUUGCAUACUGUGAUGCUGGAGUACAUGAGAGGGUGGCGGAAUUUCCGGUGUAGCGGUGAAAUGCGUAGAGAUCGGAAGGAACGUCAAUGGCGAAGGCAGCCACCUGGCAUGAUACUGACGCUGAGGCGCGAAAGCGUGGGGAGCGAACAGGAUUAGAUACCCUGGUAGUCCACGCCGUAAACGAUGAGGACUGGAUGUUGCGGGGGGAACCCCGCAGUAUCGAAGCUAACGCGAUAAGUCUUCCACCUGGGAAGUACGGCCGCAAGGUUG